UACAGAGGCCUCGAGCGUUGUUCGGAAUUACUGGGCGUAAAGAGAACGUAGGUGGUGACGUAAGUCAGAUGUGAAAGCCCUGGGCUUAACCUGGGAAGUGCAUUUGAUACUGCGUUGCUGGAGUACGAAAGAGGAAAGCGGAAUUUCCGGUGUAGGAGUGAAAUCCGUAGAUAUUGGAAGGAAUACCGAUGGCGAAGGCAGCUUUCUGGUUCGUAACUGACACUGAGGUUCGAAAGCGUGGGUAGCAAACAGG
rnacentral:rRNA from 1 species